rnacentral:rRNA from 1 species
UACGUAGGGUGCGAGCGUUGUCCGGAAUUAUUGGGCGUAAAGGGCUCGUAGGCGGUCUGUUGCGUCGGUAGUGAAAACUCUGGGCUUAACCCUGAGCCUGCUUCCGAUACGGGCAGACUAGAGGUAUGCAGGGGAGACUGGAAUUCCUGGUGUAGCGGUGGAAUGCGCAGAUAUCAGGAGGAACACCGGUGGCGAAGGCGGGUCUCUGGGCAGUAACUGACGCUGAGGAGCGAAAGCGUGGGGAGCGAACAGG